UUUUUUUUUUUUUUUUUUUUUUUUGGUUUAUGGCUGUUAUGAAACAUCUGGAUGAUUUAUAUUUUUGACAGGUAGAAUCUCCGUUUUGAUGCAUUGGCCUUCCUCCUUUGAGUUCACAGUGGAUACUAGUCCCUCUCUGUGAGACUUAAUUACACUGUAGACUUGAGUUUUUGCGUGGAAAUAACCCUUAGCUGCUGCUGCUCAGAAGUCAAACCAGAUAAUACUUCCUUUCUGCUAAUACUGAUGGUAGCUUUUAGACAGCAAGUCACCUAAAUUACAGGUACAAUCUAACAUGCUUGAAGCUGACCUGAAUGUCUGCAUACCAUCAGGUUGCUCUAGAAGAGUGAGCAGAGGAGGGAAAAGGUGGUGCCGAGGGUAAUUCCUGGAAUCUGAAUGUCAUAGGCUCCCUCUACCAGAGGAACAACUCUGAUCUUAAUCUAAAUAAAUUUGAAUUGGUCCCUCAUUGUCGGGAUUCCUGUAGCAUCCUUUAGUGUUGGUGUUUGGCCAUGCUUUCUAAAAGCUGAUGACUAGCUCCCUAGAUGCAGGAAAUCCCUUUGUGGCAUUCUGGCAUUAUUCGCACAGUGGAAACUCAUGCUUGGUGAAGACAGAUAAAACUGGUGAGUUUCAAGGUUCAGAACACACGUUACUAGCUGAGUACCGAAAUUUGUUUUGAGAUAGGGGAAAGUGAGUGUGGGAUUCAGAUUUCAGAAGGAAAAACCAGAUGCUGCAACUUGGAGUCCUUGUUGAUACUUUAAUCCAACCCCUUAGACCAUCAAAUCGGGCAGUAUAUGACUAAAAGGGCACGGAUCAGAUUGUUGAAACUGGGGGUCUGGCCACGUGAAUGAACCCUUUUCUGCCCAGAGUGCCGUGAUGCAACGCAGCAUCGAAGUUGAACCGAGGGAACGGGACGAAGGUGAGGCUCAGAAGACACUGUUGAAAACCCUCAGACAAUGCAACGCGACCAAGUUACGGAUUAGGUUUAAAAAUGCCACCCCUGCUCUGUGCAGAACGGCCAUCCCCUAACUCCUCAGGCUGCCUUCUCUUCCUCCCUCAGACUUGACUUUUGAGAGUCACCUGAGCGAAGCCUUCCCUAAGCACCUGUGCAAACAGCUGCUCUCGCCUCCUGUCCUCACGACUGUUCCCUGCAUUUCCUUGGAAGUUACCCCAGUCUGAAGUUGUCUGCUUGGUACCUCCUCCUCAGAGCCAGCCUCUCCCCUAGCGUCCUGUCUGGUCCAGAAGAAGCAUCUGAUUGUGCAAACAGUCAGGCCUUUGCCCUCUAAGAACCUGGCACCUAGGCACCUGGGCACAUUGGGUUUUCCUCUCCAGAUGACUGGCACUCGGGGCCGGCCCUCUGACAGUUUCCACGUCUGUAAACGAGAAUGUUCAGAGGAGAGGGGUAGCUGUUGCCCAAAAUGCAGGAGACUCUAGGAGGGAGAGGUGGGAAAGUGGUGUGGGGACAACUCUGGGUCGCCAGGCAGAAGAGCUGCAAUGGCCCUUUGCCGACAGGAAGCUAUCCAACCUCACCUGUUUCCGCCUCUCGGAGAUGGGGACUGGGAGCCCCGCCUCCCCUUACAGGGACCUUGUGGGGAUCCAGCGAGAUAACGUGUUAGAAAGCGCUUUGUGGGGAGUUUCCGUCAUGGCGCAGCGGGAACGAAUCCGACUAGGAACCAUGAGGUCGCGGGUUCGAUCCCAGGCCUCGCUCAGUGGGUUAAGGAUCCAGCAUGGCUGUGGCUGUGGUGUAGGUUGGCAACUACAGCUCCAGUUCCACCCCUAGCCUGGGAACUUUCAUAUGCCGUGGGUGUGGCCCUAAAAAGACAAAAAGACAAGAAAAAGAAAACGCUUUGUAAUGUGUGGAGUGCUUUGCAAAAAUACAAGACAUUCUACAAAGUUGUGGAUUUUACCAGAGAGCCUGGUUACAACGCCAGCCUUGGGGCCCGCGCUGCCAGUGCAGUAAAAGGAGGCCCCCUGGGGAGAUAGAGGAACCCCUUUUUGUAGGUGAAGACAGCCCUUUGUUGUGUCAAGUGUCAUGCUGUCAUGGGAUUCCUAAUGGGCUGGGGGGAUGAGCAUGUCACUAAAAGCUGACGGUUUCAAAAGACCUGUUUGAAGUGGUCACAGAAUAUAAGGCUGAUACCUCAACCCGCCCUUUUUAAAGGACAUGGAGGACCAACCUGUAAAUAAUAACAGGUUUGAGGGCAUUGACGUCAAAGAGGCACUUUCAUAGCUAAGGGUUCCCCACGAAAAACGAUUAGCAGGCAGCCAAUCCCCAGCACCGUCUGCCUGAGCCAGCCUUGAAGCUUGAGCAUUGCAGUGGGUCAGCUCUGUCCCCUGCAAGGAAGGCCUGGGGCUUGGGGAGCAGAGCCCGGCUUAAGUCUGGGCCCCACCGCCUAGAGCAAGUUACCUAAUUUGGCGCCUCCAGCUCUCUGGUUAGUAAGCCAGGGCAGUGACAGUCACCCACCUCCCAGGGUUGUUGAGAGGAUUAAAUGAGUCCACAUAAAGGACUUAGAACAAUGCCUGUCAGGGAUGUGCCCAGUGAGCUGGUUGUUACUCUCCCUGGGUUUGUGUUCACUGUAACAACCUCGAGUUCCUCACUGGGUGGUUUAAAUGCUCGUUAAGUAGAUUGGACGUUUUAAAUAUUCGCUCCCCGUCAUUAGACUCUUGUGCACCUUGUGGUUAAGAUCUGAAUAGAAAUCAUGUACCUUUUACAAUUAGAACUUUUUGGUUUUUUUUUUUUUUUUUUUAACUUCUUAAAAUUUCUUAAAAUUUUAAAAUCUGGGCCAUCUUCUGAGUUCUUCAAGAAAUCCUCUCACUUAGCUCUGAUUGUGACCGUGCGAAGACAGGGUCUUCUCCCUGUCGCCUCGGUUUCUCCCACUUACAAAUGGGCCAUUAUACGCCAGGCAUGGAUUGGGGGGAUGGAGCCACAAGAGGACAGGAGCCCCCCCCCCCCCAUGGACCACAUGCCCAUCCUCACCGAGGCCGCUGAGUGUAGUGAGGGUUUUGAACUUCACGUAACACAUUUUUGGGUCAUCAGUGCUUUUAUCACCAAGGCUGUUGAUGCUUCCGUGGCAGCAGGACACAAAGCCUGGCACUCGCUGCCCCUCCUCCCCUUCCCCCAAAUCAGUCUUACCGAUGACGUCAGACAGACCCUGAAGGAGGGCCUGUGAUUUUUCUUUUUUGGAGAACCUUUGGCUUUUAGUGAAGCAACUCAGGUCACACACCGCUGUCACUGUCCGAAGCACUGACUGUGUUAGGGGAACAUCAGAUCAGUAAGUUUGCUCGUUGUUCAUAAAAAUGAAGCUCCUAUAAGGCAGCUGAACUGAAUGUUCUAAAGCCUGGCUUCCAGCACGACACAUACUCAUCCCCCAAAAAAUGGUGAGGUUUCAUUUCCUUUUCUCAUUUUCCCAAAGGUGGUUAUUUUGGGCCUUUUCCAGAUGACGCCGAGGUGGUUUGUUGGGGGAGGAUCUAAAAUCCUGGUGGUUGUCAUGUUCCCACAUCAGCUUCUUUUCAUAACUCAGGCCUCCAAAUAGAGUUACGGUAGAGCUCCUGGAUGUGGGACUGGGUAGGUAGGUAAUUGUUAAUGCAGCUGAAAAGGCCAUCUAUCACCCUGAAUAAACAGGAAUCAGGUUCUUAAACCAGAUUGAAAGAAGGAAAUUACAUCACACUUUUAAAUAAGGAAGCGCCGGUCGGAACUGGAUGAGUUGUGUGACAAAAAUGUGCCCCUCCUUCUCCUGUGGAUUGCUGCAGAGAUUUAUUAAUGACAUCUGGUGGCCAGGUAAGCCUAUCUAGGUUACCAUCUUAAGGUAGCCUGGUUUUUUAAAGAACAGUUUCAGAGAGGCUAACAUCAAGCAAGGGGCACGUGGUUCCACCUUCAUAGGGAAUGUACAGUGUGCUUUUUGGUAUAACUACUUUUUUUUGCUUUUUCUUUUUUUAAAGAAAAGGACCUUUAAAUUCAGUAGCAAAACCACAGGUGCAUUAUCAUCCAGAGGAGAAGGUGAAAUUCACUGUUUCUAGAAAGCAUGCUCCUCCAUUGCUUUAAGGAAACAUUCAGUAACAGAAGCCAAUCUGGAAAGUUACAGUGUUAACCGUUUAAGCGUCUCAUUUUUACCCCAUCUCAAAACUGUCCAUCCACUUCGGAGUCUGGAAAUGAAUUUCCUGAGAAUUCCUUGCCUGCUCCAUGUCUUAGACUUGCCCCCUGACCAUCGGGUGAUGUCAGCUCAUGUUACCCUUUCCUUCUUCCCUGAUUUGUGUUCUACAUGAAUCUUCUGUGUACUUACUUUUCUAAAAGUGAGAUGAAUAUUUUCUCAAAACUCACUUAGUAAGUACAUGUGAGAAAUGAAUGAGUUCCCUGGUGGCCUAGUGGCUAAGGCUUCAGUGCUGUCGCCCCUGUGGUGCAGGUUUGAUCCCUGGCUCGGGAACGUCCACAUUCUGCCUGUGCAGCCAAACAAAAAAGAAAGAAAGGAAUGAGGCCAGAAUCUUGGGGGCGGUGGGGUAGGGGGGACUGGGGGAGAAGUCCCGUCCUAGAGAAUUGGGAGGAUGGAAGGGGAGAGGGCACAGCAUGGACUAACCCAAGACUGAAGAGACGAGGAAGGGAGUGGGUCUCGGAGAAGGUGGCGGGAGAGGCGGCCCCUAGGGGAGGUAGGUGGGGGCCUUGCCAGGAGGCCUUCGGCGCUGGGCGGGGCAGCUGCGAUGGGGAAGCCCUUGCAGACCCCUGGGCAGUGGACAUGGGCCCCUUGAGCUGUGGGUCAGCACCAGCUGUCGGGUGGGCAGGGGACUGGGGAUGUUCGGGCCCCGAGGCAGGUGGGACCCAGUGACCGGAAGGAAGAUGGGCUUUCGAGACAGUGUAGAGCGGGGCCCUGGGACUCGGGGGUGAAGUCGGGUGAGAAAGGGUGCCUUCCUGCUCAGCCCAGGAACUGGUUUGGGGACGGGGAAGGGGUGUGGAGCAAGCGACAGGCUGCGUUUGGUCUGUGGAGCUGCAGAUGCCAGAGGUACAUCCAAGUGGAAAGAUAAUCACCAGACAAUAGGAAGUGCAAAGUGGAAGCCUGAGCCAGGGCUGGAGUCCGGAGCCUUGGAUGCAGAGCUGAAGCCCUAGAUGGGAUCCGGUGGGGCAGGGGGCAUGAGGAGAGAAAAUAAAGGGACAGCCUCAAAAAACCAACGGUUUUAUAGGGUCGUUAGGUUUUUCCCUUGAAUUAAAAAAAAAAAAAAAAUCGAGUGAUGUGACCAGGAAAACAUUCGCACCAGGACUGGUAUGUAACUGCAUUUUUGACACCCUAAAAGGCUAUCGCUUCACUCCCGUAUUUUGGAAAGAUCACUCUGCCCAAGGUUAAUCGAAUCUAUACCAAGGUCUGUGCCAGGCUGCCUGGAUUAACCUUCGCUUUCCUGUUUUUGCAUUUCCCCGCAGAAUGCCGCCGGGGACUUGUUUUUCCCACACAGGUGUCUCUCUGCGGUUGUUCUCCUACGGAAGUAUAAAGCAGAGCUAGUGUGACCGUCACGUAAAGUUAAAUUUCACUUGCGCACCAUGUUUCUUUUGAACUUGAGGUUGACCAAAUUGACUUCUCCGAGGAGGAGAGAGAGAGAGAGAGAGAGAUUGAGAGGUGGGGGCUGGGGGGGGUGGGAGUAAAAGAAUCCCAGGAGCUUUCCCACCCUCAGUUUACAACCUGAGGGACACGCUUCAAAAGCCUGCCUCCCACCUCCCCGCAGGUUUGGCCCUUGUUUAGAGUCCGCAUUGGGGAGUUAUUUUCCAGAAGACGGGAGCACACAGCGCUGCUGCCCUCGGAGCUCCCAGGCAAGUCACUAGGAAGUUCGGACAGUUUCAUAACACAGCCCAUUCACAAUUCCCCAUUGAAAUGGAGAGGCAGGUCACCUCCUAUGAAUGCACAAAGACGCUAUUGUGGUCACAAGGGAGCUGCCUCAGUGAACACAAUUCUUUUUAUGCUAAAACAAUUUUUUUCUUAAGAAAGCUAACAAGUAGGUGCUGGAAACAAUGCAUAAAAACAUAACUUUUUCUAGAACGUAUAAAUACUGCUCAGGGACCAUUGAAAUGUAUGUUUAGACCUCGGUGGCAAUUUCAGCGCAGGCGAUCGUUACACAAUCAUUCUGUUGAAAGCUCAGAUUUAGACGGCGCUGGGCGGCUGACACACAGUAAUUACUGGUAGUGCCUGUUGGCCUGCAGACAGGUGGGGGUUGGGCCCCGAGACUCUGGGCAGCAUUCUCCUGUAAUCUGGACAGGGGAUCUUCAAACGUGUGCUUUCAAACCACUUAAAUACCAUAUUCUUCUUCCUAUCUGGGCUUUCAUUUCCACAUCACUACCGAUACCCUAGUCCUGCCAGUGCUUGUAGGCGGCUUGGGAAAAGCACCCUAAACCAGGGGCCAAGGACAGAGGGGAGUGUCUCGAAAUUUUUUUUUUUUUCAGAAGUUGUGUUUUUAAAUGUUUCUAACACCUUACACCUGAUUCAAGGGAGAUAAAAACAUUUCUUUCUAAUCUAAAAACCAGCCUUCAGAAACAGCAAAAAGAUCCCCCAGGAACUUACUUUUAGAUUUCUGACAUGAUGGGGCUUCCCCCCCCCAUCUUCUUCAUCAUGUACCUGUAGCGACUAAUAAAAGAAAAAUGAAUGCUUGACUAUUUGAAAUAUGUUCAACCUGUUUAAAUCUGCCUGCUAUAUUAAAACAGCCGACUUUGGGAGAAUGGGAGUGAGUGUCUUCAUAUGUGACUACGUCUAAAAAGCCAGAAGCGGUAAUCGGGCCUCAUCCUCCUUUGUCACCGAAACAUGACUAUCUUUCCAUUCCUUUUUAUG
rnacentral:lncRNA from 1 species